ACCAAUUCCGGACACAAUCUCAGCACUGUGGGAGACUGAGGCACCUGCCAAACCUGCACAGAUUCCUACAGCAGCCAGUUCGCUCUGUCUCGAGGCUUCAGAGGAACACGAACUUCUCUGAUGGAAGAGCCUUGUUCUAGAAGGGAGUGAAGCCUAGGUCUUUCCUGAGCACACAGAAGAUCAAGACCACACUCACUGACUUCUCAUAGUCAAGCAAUUUUGGCCAAUUAAAUGUCAGUUGGAAACUCCUGUGUCAGCUUCUCUGUGGCGGUGAGAAGUCCCUGUGUGACAUCCCAACUCUCCCCUCACCUGCGUUGGCAACCAAGAAAGCCUUGUGUUGGAGGUGGGGCCACAAGUUUAAAGCUAAGUUACCACCUCGAGGGCACAUUCCUGGAGAGCUUCCCAGGCCCACAGUGGCACGUGUAUGAGUGACAGAUCCACUUCUUUAUUACCUUUUUGAAGAACAGGAACCUUUGUCUGGAAAUUCCACAAGUAUGCCUUUUGCAAGAUUAAAAGUGCCACAAAGAACAAAAAUGAGCCCAGGACCAGAUGCAUGUUAAAAGCCAUCAGACACGUUAAGUUUCAUCUCCAUUGACCUGCAGAAGGAGUCUCUCACCACAGCCACCACAUCUAUGCAUGUGCUGAGUCACAUGUGAAGCCAGCACAUCUCAGAGUCUCACCGAAAGCUCAUGGUGAGACAAAGAGACUAGAAGGGGUAGAGUCAGCUAACUUCUCUCCUCCCACCACUGAUGAGGUUUUGGUGAAUUCUCUUCCCUUGCUCACUUGCAGAUUCAGCAGAGUUGUCUAUAGUGGCUUAAUUGGAAUUGCUGGACAAGAACAUUGAUUCUGCUUCACUCAGGUAAAGAUGAAAGUAACUGCAACAAUGGAUAUUGCAUUUGAAGGUCAUUGAGUUGUAGUCAGGCAAGGGGAGCAGAUAUUAAAACAUACACGCACAAAAUAAUGGGAUUUUUAUUUAGCAUCUCGCAAGUCUUGAGUAACAUAGUAUUAAUUGACCUUGAGAUUUCAUUCUUUUGUGACUCAUUGCAUUUGCUUUUGUGUUUCAGAUUAAUAUAGAAUAUUUUAAAGAAAGAGUAAUACAGCCAAUUUUAAUCUCUGGGAAGUUUAUGCAAGACAUAAUUUAUUUGUAAACUUUAUAAUAAUAUGUGAAUUAAAGACCCUUGUUAGUUUGGUAUGAAUCUGACAUAAGGGCUAAAAUCACUUUUUCAUUAGCCUUCUCCUGAUCUCAGGUUUACACCUAAGAGAUUCUUCACUCCAAAGUCUUCAUUUCCAAGCACAACCUGCUGGGUGCUGCGCUUUUCUGAGGUCUCCUCCCCAGCUCUGCAUCUAGCAGUGCUCAUGAUGCAAUGAUUUCCUGUCUGACUAUCCCAUUCCUAUCCUUUGCAAAGUUCACAUAGACCCAUUUGAGUACACUUUUAGUAGCAUACCAAGUUUAAGUGCCAAAGUUGUGUUUUAGUUCUUUCAUCCAGAAAGAAAACAUCAGCUGUUUCAAAUUUUAGAGUCCAGCUUGGGCAACAAGAGAAUUGUCAUGUCGUCGAUUGUGUAGUAAGACACAGUGAGUGUCCAGCAAUGUAAAAUCAGUCUAUAAAUGAGAAGAUUAAGACCAAAAGCAUCGGGUUACAAACAUCUCACUAAAGCCCAUUAGCAGGCAGAGAGCUCUCCGCGGAGCUAGAAAAUGAGACUUUUCCCUCCUUUCUGCCCCAUACAUUAGUGCUGAUCUCAGGAGCUCAUUUUUGCACCCUUUGUGGCAGACAACCAUAUAAUCAAAGGGUUCCCAUCACUAAAUCAUUUGAAAAGACAAGUAGAAAUUAGCUUUAGCUAAUUUAACUAGCCUUUGCCCCUCCUCCUGACCCUGAGGGUGAAGCACAUUUUAUCAUUCAUCCUCUGGGGGCUGGCUUAUGCUGGCUCCCUUUCCUUUGGCAGUGAUUUUAAGCAACCAAGUUCUUAUUACAAUUCUCAAAUUUAAAAUUAAGUUCUGAUCACAUCUUCUCAGGGCAUACCUAAGAGGCAGUGUUUAUCCCCAGCCAAAUCAAUUGUUUCCUCAAGUGACUCAUUCCUGAAAAUGUUAUUGUUUCUAAUAACCAGCUCAAAUAUGUAUUUUCAUUAAUCUUUUCUUUUACCUCCAUUUCACACGUGUUGCUGCAUGUCAGGCAGUUUCCACAAGGAUCUGCCAUGACAUCAUUGUGUGAGGUAUGAAAAAAAAAUUUUUUUUUUUCUAAUUUAAGAAUUACUUUUACUCAGAUGGUGGCUGGGCUGGGAAAUGUUCCCCAUUGCCCUGGGAGUUUUAGGCCAAGGCUUGUGUGUGUGUGUGUGUGUGUGUGUGUGUUGGAAGGGUCUCUCAUUGCCUAUUUCUGCUUAUAUAACACACACUGGUUUAGGUAGGUGGAGUCAGAAUGGGAAGAGGAAGUUCCCUAAGUGUUUCUUGCAUGCAAAGGUAAGUGGAGAAUGCCCAUCUGGGCACACAGGGCAAGGAUGCAGUGGAGUGACCUCUCCUUUCCCCUCCAACUCACAUGCUGGAGUUUAAAAACUGUAUCAGGAUGACAGAAACCAAGGGGUAAGACCACGGCUUCCUCUGGGGAUCUUCUAUAAACUGUAAGAACAAACACAGGUAUUUUGUAGUUCUUUAUCACAACGGGUCCUUUGCUGAUGAUUCUAGGUUUUAUGACUGCUGUUUUAUGUCCUACAAAUAGUAACAGGCAUUUCCCUUUGCCCUACACCACAGUAAGCCACUGGCCUAGACAAGAAGCAACUCUGCACUGCUUUUCAAACAUCAUCCUCCCUCUCGACCGCAGGGACUAUUUGGUUUCUAUUCUACUUCUGGCCUUUCAUAUUCCUGAUGGUGCAUUGGAUGAAACCCCGCAGCCAGGCGUGUGAACGUGGUUGAAAAGACCCAUGGAGGACCAGCAACGCUUCCCCACAGCGUGGGAUGGUCCCCUCCUGAGAUGGCCCACUGUCAGCGGGACUGACGCCAAGCACUGCAUCCUGUCUGCUUCUUGAACAGCCCCUUCAUUGUUUGUUCAGCUAUUCUGCUGCAUCUGCAGAUAGCCCUGCCUGAGAAACAGCCUCAAACCAGAAGGAGAGGAUGGCGGCAAGCCUUAGAGAAACAUGGAUGUUAUGUGGACUUCAUUGCCUCAGAGAAAAUUCCUUUUAGGGCUGAAGGCAGAGAAAGUCAGCAUUGAUUUCUGGCCUAAGCUCUUGGGAGUUUAGAGGGUUUGUCAAGGAGCCAAAAGAGGCAAAGGGACUUGAAGAUUUGGACGGCAUGUCUCGGAGAAGUAGCCCCACUCCUAGAGGAGAUGACAUUUGGCUUGGAGGAGAAAGAGGCCUCAAAGGUUUCACAUAUCUAAGUCCAAGGAACUUGAGCUCACAGUCAGACAUCAUAAAACACACAAGGAAAGAAGGCAUCAUGAAUAAAAGCAGGAACCAAUAUUAUUAGACACAACAGAUAAAAUGACCGUAAAGAAAAUUUGGGAAUGUGUAUUUCAGGGAAAAUGAAAAUGAUCCCAAUAAAGAUCGGAGAUGCAGGAAGGAAGGAAAACAUAGAAAUUGAGCCAGUUGGAGUGUGAGGCUUCAGAAUCGCCUUCCAACUCUCUGUGCACUGCACCAGCUGCUUCCCAUAGACUCCUGGUAAAAUAUAGAGCGGAAGGAAGAAGAGCCACUACCCAUAACAUCAGUGGCUGCUAACUAAGGAGUGUUUUGACAUGCUGGUACAGCCUAUCCUCAGCUUUCCAGAAGGUGGAAUCUUGUGAUAGUGGAAAGAAGUAGAAGAGAUGAAGUACCUAUGACUCCAGGAUUUGCCAGUGAAAGAAGUCAACAAUAUUUUAACUUUGAUCUUAACCAAAAGGCCAAGAAGUGAUGCUAAUAUUUUCAUAUACUACGACAGUUGCAGACACACGUCUAUCAUAGCUGGGUAGUAAUCCAGGCAACUCUGCCACAAGUCAUGGGCUCAGCCACCAGUCCACGAAGUCUCCAGUCACACAUAUUGCUUCGGACUAUUCUCUAUCCCCAGUUGUCAAUUAACUAAAAUAUUAAAUGAGAAGAAAACCUGAUGUCUGAGCUGAAUCCUAAUCAUGAAGAUGUUUUUCCACCAUUCCUGUCUGUGUUUUUCUACCAUUCCUGUCUGUGUUUUUCUACCAAAGUGUGCUCUUGAAGUUCUGCAUUUCCCAGGGUGUGGUGAAAGAAGAGAAAAAAAUGUCCAAGAUGACUUCAACGUUCUGACCUUGAGUGGCUUGAGUGAAUGGAGUUACAACUGUGCAGAAAGAUUCAGUAGAGAGUUUUGGAUUUAUGCACCAGUAAGGGGAAAACUGAACAGCUGCAGAGAGCUGUAACUUUUAUAGGAGAUUAAUCUAUAAGAGAAGACAGCAAACUACAGCCUGUGUGUCAAAUCCUACUUGCCACGUCCACUGAAAGCUAACUACACUGGAACACUCUCAUUUCUGCAAAGAAAAAUAUCAUAUCCCAGGAUGAAAAGGAGGAGGAAGAGGAAAGGCUAACUUAACAAGAAGCUCUUUGACAUUCUUGAAUUAGACACCCAACGUAGUCCACGCAGUACGGAGGAUGACUUCAGAAGUGCAAUUCUGAUAUGGACUUUGUCUCCCUAAGGCUUUCAGUUCCUCAUAUUUAGGAUAAAACAGAAGUUUAUGUAAAGCCAAGGGAGAGGGUCACCGGGAGAGGGAAGGAGGAACAGCAGAAGGAGAGGUCCACACAUGAAAAUACUUGGAAGCGCCCCAGGGCCUAUCAGAUGCAGGUCUUGGCGGAAAUUACCAAACAUACUUUAGACAGGCUGCUGUGUUGCUGAGUGUGGACUGGCCUCAGGGCCUGCUGAUCAAAGCAAAAGGAAGCAGUGAAAAAAACAUCACCAUGUCUUCUUAGAGUCUAAUCUGGGGGCAAGAGGCCAGCAUGCACAGUUGGUGCUGAUUUUCUUGGGCGGAUAGAGGAAAGGUGUAGGCGUGGCCAACAUUUGAGCAGCAUGUGGUUCCUCUCACACGCCAUGCUGUUUCCGGCCUCCUUGCAUUUUACUCAUGCCAUCCUCCUGGUCACUUCUUUGAGAUAUUAAGUGCAUUCUUUAGGACUCAGACUCAGCUCAAGGGUCAGUGCAUCCAUGAAGCCUUACCUGGAUCCCAGAGGGAGCUCUGUGCUCCUCCUUUGUCUCCUAUAGGACCCAGUACAUGCGUCCAGUAUUAUCCAUACACACUGAAAUGAUCUAGCAUGUGUCUUCCCAUAGGAUUUCAAAUUCUUAGAAUAUAGGAGUGAUGCCUUCUUCCUACUUAUAUUUCCAGUGUUAACAGUGCCUGUCAAUUGACUUGAAGAUAACUAAAAGUCUGGUUGUUAAGGGCUGCUUCCCACCUCCAAAUACUUCCCUGGAAGUCAUUGUAUGGGCACUGACAUUGGUAGGUCUCCACUGGCUUGUAGAUGCUUCUGAUUAUAAGGUAGUCUCAGAUGCCUUCAGAAAGUUCUAAGACUGUAUAAAACAUUUCCUUCACAACCAAUAACUGUGUAUUAUUGUUCGUGUAAUUCCAGAAGUUAUCCUUUUGAUAGAGAGCAAUUACUUUAUUGAUUGAGAGUUAGCUAAUUAUGUAAUAAAGGUAAAGAUUUGCAUAGAGAAGUGUAAGAGACAUGGAGAAGAUUCUUGGUGGGUGGUGAGGGCGGGUACAUUUACACCAGACCAAGACUGAUCUGGCUGUGGCGCUGGAGAUUAAACUGUUUAAAUAUGGGAUCCUAAGAAGACUUCUGUGCAUUCUAGACUUCAAGAGACAGAUUGCAUUUUUUUUUAGGAAAUGUAGAUAAAACCCUUUGACUGAAUGACUCUAGAAAAUAAUACUGAUUUGAGAGAGAAAGGAAAUUCUAAAACAAAAUCCUGACAGCAGAGGCAUGAAUGAUCCUCAUGAGGAAGAAAUGAGACUCUGCUUAACUACACUGUAGAUUUUGGUGUGGAAGAAGAUGGAAGGUGGGUAUAUAGCCAAAUUUUGAAUACAAUAGGGCAGCACAAAACUGUGACAACAGUGGCAGAAGGACUGAAGUACAGAAUGUGUGAAAGUUGUUGUGAAAUAAAUAGAGAGCAACAGAAAAGGACUAUUUGGGCUGGGCAAUGGUAAUCCCAGAACUUUGGGAGGCUGAGUCAGGUGGAUCACCUGAGGUCAGGAGCUCAAGA
rnacentral:lncRNA from 1 species